UACGGGGGGUGCGAGCGUUGUUCGGAAUCACUGGGCGUAAAGGGCGCGUAGGCGGCGCGACAAGUCAGGCGUGAAAGCCCCGGGCUCAACCCGGGAAUUGCGCUUGAUACUGUCGUGCUUGAGGCCGGGAGAGGAUGGCGGAAUUCCCAGUGUAGAGGUGAAAUUCGUAGAUAUUGGAAGGAACACCAGUGGCGAAGGCGACUAUCUGGACAGAUACUGACACUGAGACACGAAAGCGUGGGGAGCAAACAGG
rnacentral:rRNA from 1 species